rnacentral:rRNA from 1 species
AUUGAACGCUGGCGGCAGGCCUAACACAUGCGAGUCGAGCGGAUGAAGGGAGCUUACUCCUGGAUUCAGCGGCGGACGGGUGAGUAAUGCCUAGGAAUCUGCCUGGUAGUGGGGGAUAACGUCCGGAAACGGGCGCUAAUACCGCAUACGUCCUGAGGGAGAAAGUGGGGGAUCUUCGGACCUCACGCUAUCAGAUGAGCCUAGGUCGGAUUAGCUAGUUGGUGGGGUAAAGGCCUACCAAGGCGACGAUCCGUAACUGGUCUGAGAGGAUGAUCAGUCACACUGGAACUGAGACACGGUCCAGACUCCUACGGGAGGCAGCAGUGGGGAAUAUUGGACAAUGGGCGAAAGCCUGAUCCAGCCAUGCCGCGUGUGUGAAGAAGGUCUUCGGAUUGUAAAGCACUUUAAGUUGGGAGGAAGGGCAGUAAGUUAAUACCUUGCUGUUUUGACGUUACCAACAGAAUAAGCACCGGCUAACUUCGUG